rnacentral:lncRNA from 1 species
UCCAAAUCCAACAGGUGACGAAUAACCUGUAUUCACCACUACCAUCGCUGAUUCAAGAACCCAUGUCUACAUCAUCACUACACCAAAUCCAAGGAUAAUCAGCCCAUCAGAAUUUCCAAACAUACUUCACCCCUAUACAACACAAAUAAUUUCGAAAAUCAUCAUUUAAUAAUAUUGGGGUGCAAUUCAUCCAAUGCAAAGCAAAUAUCUAAAUACAACAACUAAUCUAAAUCCUUUUUUUUUGUUUUGAAUUAAUAUUGGAUCAACCAACAACGAAGAACACCGCAACCAUCACCUUGUUACGAGAAAUCCCUUUAAUUUCAAUUUUUUUGAUGUAGGCUUUUAAUCACAAAUUAUUCUGGUUUUCUAAUAUCCUACCCAAAACAAAAAUCCCAGCUUUUUAAUUACCGACAACGAACUCCAACAUACUAGAACCAAAUAGAACGACAACCCACAAAAUUUCAGAUGAUUCAAGUUUUUCCUAUUAAAGAAUCGCCACAUGAUGCUCAAAUACAUGGAAAACAACAAAGAAACGAUUGGAUUCAUCACGCAAUCGAUCCAAAAAAUCUAAAUAAACAAACAGAUUGAUACAAAGGGGAAAAACACACAAUGUAGAGGCGGAAAAACCACACCGUUUCUCCAGGAUCAAUCGUUAACGAUUC